AGUAAAAGGAGGAAAAACAAAUACAAGGUAAAUGCUAAAAAAAGAAAUCCAGUGUACCUCUAUUAAUACCAGAUGGAUAGAUUUUAAGGCAAUAAGCAUAACUAGAAAUAAGAAAGGGUCACAAAAUGUGUAUAAAAGUUAUAGUUCACCUGGAAGGAAAAAUAAUUCUAAACUUGUAUGCACCUAACAAUACAGUCUCAAAAUAUAUAGAGCAAAACCAUAAGGAGAAACUGACAACUCCUCUAUCACAGUCAGAAACUUCUGACAAAUCUUAUUUCAUAAAUGAAAUAUUAAGCAACACAACAAUGAGUUAUGAUAUAUAAAAUUGGGCAGCACAGAUGUAAUGGACAUAUAUGGAAUACUGCACCCAAUAAUGCAAGAAUAAGCAGUCUUUUCAAGCACACAGCAAAUAUUGACUAUCUAGGAAGUUGUUUUUUUAGGUCAGAGUACACUAUUUUUCAGUGCUCCUGACAAAAGAUCGGAACAACCAUUUCAAAUCUGGCAAGUUGUUGAGUGACCAGAUAUUACAUUGGUUACCAAAUAAAUUAGUUAAUCUGUAAAUGAUUUCCUUUUAGACUAGUAUGUCUUAUGUCACUGAAAAGAACAAGCACUGUUUUCCUCACUCACCUCAGCUUCUUGGACAUCUACCCAACAGCAAACAAGAAACUACAUCAACCAAUAUGACCACUGGGAAUCUAGGGAAAAGAUUUAUUUCAUCCAAAAUUUUGGACAAAUGAUGAGUGGUUACUGGCUAGAAUGAAGGAAGGCUCUCUCUGCCAGAGUGGGGCAAUGGAUCCCAACCUUCAGCAUGCUGAAUAACUGGUGGGAAAGUUCAGCGGAGGAUGGGGAUCUACCUUUUUAACUAAUUCUAAUGCAAGUGAUUCUUGGGGCAGAAUUGGAGAAAUUCUGGGUAAGAGUGUUAGUUAUAAGACCUGUUUCUAGAGUUUUCCUUACAUUGAAGAUUUCAUUCUUUUCAGCAAAUAUCCUCUCCAGUGAACAAUCCUCACAUUUGGAUUACCUUUUUUUUCUUUUAAUUUUUUUUAACAUUUAUUUAUUUUUGAGACAGAGAGAGACAGAGCAUGAACAGGGGAGGGUCAGAGACAGAAGGACACACAGAAUCUGAAACAGGCUCCAGGCUCUGAGCUGUCAGCACAGAGCCUGACGCGGGGCUCGAACUCAUGGAUCGCGAGAUCAUGACCUGAGCCGAAGUCAGAUGUUCAACCGACUGAGCCACCCAGGCGCCCCUGGAUUGCCUUUUUAUGAAGCACAGGAACUUAAGUCAAAUCUGCCAAUAUUUUCUUUUGCAACUUCUUUUCAUUCUUCUACAGAAAAUUUUUUACUUAAGGGUAAAGCUUUACAAAUGUUGCUUUUUUAAUUUUCUCCUUCUUUAGAAACAAAAAU